UACGAAGGGGGCUAGCGUUGCUCGGAAUCACUGGGCGUAAAGGGCGCGUAGGCGGCCAUUCAAGUCAGGGGUGAAAGCCUGUGGCUCAACCACAGAAUUGCCUUUGAUACUGUUUGGCUAGAGACCGGAAGAGGUAAGUGGAACUGCGAGUGUAGAGGUGAAAUUCGUAGAUAUCGGAAGGAACAUCAGUGGCGAAAGCGACUUCCUGGACCAGUACCGACGUUCAGGCACGAAAGCGUGGGGAGCAAACAGG
rnacentral:rRNA from 1 species